GAAAUGCGAUAAGUAGUGUGAAUUGCAGAAUUCAGUGAAUCAUCGAAUCUUUGAACGCACAUUGCGCCCCUUGGUAUUCCAUGGGGCAUGCCUGUUCGAGAGUCAUUUGUACCCUCAAGCUCUGCUUGGUGUUGGGUGUUUGUCCCGUCUCCGCGCGUGGACUCGCCCCAAAGUGAUUGGCAGCCGGCGUACUGGUCCCGGAGCGCAGCACAUGUCGCGCAAACGAGUGCCUUGGUACGGCGGCGUCCAUAAGCCCCUCUCUCACGCUCUUGACCUCGGAUCAGGUAGGGAUACCCGCUGAACUUAAGC
rnacentral:misc_RNA from 1 species